rnacentral:rRNA from 1 species
UACGAAGGGGGCUAGCGUUGUUCGGAAUUACUGGGCGUAAAGCGCGCGCAGGCGGUUCUUUAAGUCAGGGGUGAAAGCCCAGAGCUCAACUCUGGAAUUGCCUUUGAAACUAGAGAACUUGGGUACGGGAGAGGUGAGUGGAAUUCCCAGUGUAGCGGUGAAAUGCGUAGAUAUAGGAAGGAACACCAGUGGCGAAGGCGACCACCUGGACUGAUACUGACACUGAGGUGCGAAAGCGUGGGGAGCAAACAGG